UACGGAGGGUGCAAGCGUUGUCCGGAUUUAUUGGGUUUAAAGGGUGCGUAGGCGGCUUGAUAAGUCCGUGGUGAAAGCCAACAGCUCAACUGUUGAACUGCCAUGGAUGCUGUCAGGCUUGAGUACAGACGAGGUAGGCGGAAUGGAUCGUGUAGCGGUGAAAUGCAUAGAUACGAUCCAGAACACCGAUUGCGUAGGCAGCUUACUAGGCUGUAACUGACGCUGAGGCACGAAAGCGUGGGGAGCGAACAGG
rnacentral:rRNA from 1 species